GUGCCGGGCCAUCCAGCCUUUCCUUCCCUUUUUACUCUCAUCUAGAGCAGAAAUGAGAGCCUGAGACACCUGGAGAAGGGUUUUCAUCACUAAAAGGACUUUCUCUUCCUCCAUCUCCUUUGAGGGCAUUCAAUAUACCCAAAUGGUGUCCAGAGGAAAAUGCUAUCAUUUUUCGGCAUCCCUGUGCAGGGAGCAGAGCAAAGAGGAAACCUGCAAUGGACCCCAAUCCCUAAUUCACAGGGGCCUCUUUGGGAGUACUUGGGGGACCGCUCUGUGAGUGCUGUGGCCAUGGUGAAGGAAUUUUGCCUUAGCCACAGCUAGCUCUAUCCCCAGCCUUCUCAAGCACAA